rfam:Felis catus isolate Cinnamon breed Abyssinian chromosome B2, whole genome shotgun sequence.
CCAAAGGCUCUUUUCAGAGCCACUCAGAUGGUCAAUGGAGGCUGU